rnacentral:lncRNA from 1 species
AGAACGGGUCACGUGAGCGCCUCGCCUGGAUGUGAGUUUCAGCCAGACCUGUGGAUAUCUGGGCUUUGGGCUGUAUGAUCAUUGAGAUGGCCACUGGAAAUCCCUAUCUUCCUAGUAGUUCUGAUUUGGAUUUACUCCAUAAAAUUGUUUUGAAAGUGGGCAAUUUGUCACCUCACUUGCAGAAUAUCUUUUCCAAGAGCCCCAUUUUUGCUGGGGUAGUUCUUCCUCAAGUUCAACACCCCAAAAAUGCAAGAAAAAAAUAUCCAAAGCUUAAUGGAUUGUUGGCAGAUAUAGUUCAUGUAUGUUUUUUUUUUUUUUCCUCCCCCGGAGACAGAGUCUUGCUCUGUCGCCCAGGCUGUAGUGCAGUGGAGUGAUCUCGGCUCACUGCAACCUCUGACUCCCAGGUCAUGAGAUUCUCCUGCCUCAGCCUUCCGAGUAGUUGGGAUUACAGGCACCUGCCACCAUGCCCGGCUAAUUUUUGUAUUUUCAGUAGAGACGGGGUUUCACCGUGUUGGCUGUGGUUGGCCAGGCUGCUCUUGAACUCCUGAGCUUAGGUGAUCCGCCCACCUCGGCCUCCCAAAGUGCUGGGAUUACAGGCAUGAGUCACCGCACCCAGGCAGUUCAUGUAUGUUGAGAAAUUAAGAAUUUAUAUCUGAGAAAUUUGCAUAAAUUAUAAUACAGUUUUUAAUUAUCACUUUAAUGAAAUUCCAAAAGGAUUCCUAAAGUAAUGUAAACUGUAGAAAAUUAUGUCUUUAGUACAGAGAAAUUAAAAUUCAUAGACUGUCAGAGCUGAAUGCCCCCUAAGAUAAUUAUGUUCAUUAUAUUUAAUUUAUCUCUAUUUUAAUGAUAAUUAGGUAUAAACUGGAGAAAUGGGCCAGGCAGGGUGGCUUAUGUGUGUAAUCCCAGCACUUUGGGACGCCGAGACGGGCUGAUCACGAGGUUUCUCCAUGUCGGUCAGGCUGGUCUCGAAGUCCUGACCUCAGGUGAUCCUCCCACCUUGGCCUCCCAAAGUGCUGGGAUUACAGGCGUGACCCACCGUGCCUGGCCUUUAUUUGUUUUUGUUCUGUUUUGUUUUUGUAAACAGGGUCUCACUCUUUCACCCAGGUCAGAAUGCAGUGGUGUCACCUCGGCUCACUGCAGUUCCGACUUCCUGAGCUCAGCUGAUCCUCCCAACUCAGCCUCCCGAGUAGCCUGGAUGCCCAGAUAAUUUUUGUAUUUUUUGUAGAGAUGGAGUUUCUCCAUGUUGCCCAGGCUGGUCUCAAACUCCUGGGCACAAACUAUUAACUUGCCUCAGUCUCCCAAAGUGUUGGGAUUACACACAUGUGCCACAGUGCCAGUUCCUGUUUAAAAAAAUUAAUUAUUUUUUACAGUCUCAUCCUGUUGCCCAGGCUGGAGUGCAAUGGUGUGAUCGUUGCUCACUGCAACCUCGAACUCCUAUCCUCUAGUGAUCCUUCCUCCUUGGCCUCUGAAAGUAUUGGGAUCACAGGCAUAAGCAACUGUGCCUGGUCAAAAUUUAAAUUUUAUUUAAAAUGGCUAGGUGCAGUGGCUCGUGCCUAUAAUCCCAGUACUUUGGGAGGCUGAGGCGGGUGGAUCACCUGAGGUGGGUGGAUCACCUGAGGUCAGGAGUUCAAGACGAGCCAGACCAACAUGAUGAAACCCUGUCUCUACUAAAAAUACAAAAAUUAGCCGGGCGUGGUGGCGUGCACCUGUAGUCCCAGCUACUUGGGAGGCUGAGACAGGAGAAUCACUUGAACCUGGGAGGCAGAGGUUGCAGUGAGCUGAGAUCGCACCACUGCACUCCAGCCUGGGUGACAGAGUGAAACUCCGUCUCAAAAAUAAAUAAAAAUAAAAGCAUAAGUUUUAUUUAAACUAGGUAAUACAUAUACCAACAUAUUUAGUACAAAAUUUAUUUAUUUAUUUUUAUUUUGAAAGUGGUGGCAAGAACCACAAUUACUUUUGCACCAACUUAAUGUAAGAAAUACAUAAUAAUUAUAGAAAAAAUAUAAAAUACACAGUAAACAAAAAGGAGAGGUUCAGAUUUUCCCAAUUCACAUGAUCCAGAAAAAAUUACUAUUAUCAAUUUGGUUUACAAACUUCUAAAGUUUUCCCAACCAAGUAGAUGCAUAGAAAUUUAUGCUUUUAAAAAGGUGUCUUACUUUACACAUUGCUAUGUAACCUGUUUAUUUUUACUUACCAGUACAUUUAAAGAUACUAUAAUGUUAAUAAAUAUGGAACUACAUGAUAGUUUUCAGUGAUUGCGUAGUAUUUCAUUGUAUGACUAUACAAUUAGUUUAUUUAACUGUUUUUGCAUUUUUGGACGUUUGAAUUAUUUUCGAUUUUCCCCCCGCUAUUGGUAAAGAUGUGACAAUAAAAUUUUUUUUUUUUUUUGAGAUGGAGUCUCGCUCUGUCACCCAGGCUGCAGUGCAGUGGCACGAUCUCAGCUCACUGCAACCUCCGCCUCCAGGGUUCAAGCAGUUCUCUGCCUCAGCCUCCCAGGUAGCUCAGAUUACAGGCACACUCCACCACGCCUGGCUAAUUUUUGUAUUUUUAGUAGAGACGGGGUUUCACUGUCUUGGCCAGGCUGGUCUUGAACUCCUGCCCUUGUGAUCCACCUGCCUUGGCCUCCCAAGGCACUGGGAUUACACGCGUGAGCCACCACAUCCAGCUGAAAAUUUUUUAGUAUUUGUCUAUAUGCAUUUGUUUUAUUUUUUUUAGGAGAAAUUACUAGAAGUGGUCCGGGGGCAGGGGCUCAUGCCUAUAAUCUUAGCACUUUGGAAGACUGAGGUGGGAGGAUCACUUGAGCCCAGGAAUUCAAGACCCACUUGGGAAAUAUAGGGAGACCCUGUCUUUACAAAAAACAAAAAACUAGCCAGGCACAGUGGCAUGCGCCUAUAGUCCCCUGCUACUUUGGAGGCUGAGGUGGCAGGAUCACUUGAGCCUGGGAGGUUGAGGCUGCAGUGAGUUGUGAUUGUGCCACUGCACUCCAGCCUGGGCAACAGAGUGAGACCCUGUCUUAAAAAAUAUAUAUAUUAGAAGUGGAUUUAGUAAGCCAAAGGAUUUAUACUUUUUAGAAUUUUUGAUAUUUUGCUGUUUUUUUCACAGAAAUAUUUUUCUUAUUUAUAUCCUCACUCUCACUCUAGCAUUGGAUAUUAUUAUUGUUAUUUGAGAUGAGGACUUGCUAUGUUGCCCAGGCUAGUCUUGAACUCCUGAGCUCGACCAAUCCUCCCGCCUCAGCCUCCUGAGUAGCUGGGAGGUAUCUUUUUUAAAAUUGUAUUUAUGUCAUUACAGGAGAGAGAAACAUUAUGCUAAUAUUCAUUGUCUAUUUGUAUUUCUUUUUUUAAAGAAUCCUUAGGCCAGGCGUGGUGGCUUAUGCAUGUAAUCCCAGCACUUUGGGAGGCCAAGGCAUGAGGAUGGCUUGAGGCCACGUGUUCCAGACCCAGCCUUGGCAACAUAGUGAGACCCUGUCUCUAAACAAAAGGGUCUCUAAACAUAGGGUGUCGUGAUACCCACUUGUAGUCCUAGCUAUUUGGGAGGCUGAGGCAGGAGGAUCCUUUGAACCCAGGAAUUUGAGACUGCAGUGAUUUAUGCUUGCAGCACCGCACUCUAUCCUGGGUGACAGAGCAAGACCCUGUAUAAAAAAAGAAAAAAAUAAUCCUUAACCUAUUUGUCAACUAAAAUAUUUAUCUUAUUGAUUUGUGAAAAAAAACACAUUAAUCUUUUGUCAUAAGUUUUGCAAUAUGUUUGCAAAACUUGCAAUAUGCUUUUUUUUUUAACAACUAGUAUCAUCCAAUGAUUUGGAAUGCUACAUUUAUCAUAGACAAAAUGCUUAUACAUGUGUGGGUUUGUUUCUGUUCCAUUGAUUUUUCUCUUUAUUCUAGAAGUAGUACAACUUUGAUUUAUUAUUGUAACUUUAAAAUACACUUUGAUAUCUGAUGUAGGGCACAUAUUUUUCCUAGAUAUAAAUUUUCUAAACAAUGUUAUUGAGGUAUAAUUUGUGGGCAGUAAACUAUACAUACUUAAAAUGUACAAUUUGAAGAGUUUUGAUGCAUGUAUACACACAUGAAACCACCACCACAAUCAGGAUACCUAACACACACACACACAAACACACACACGAUACCUAACAUUUCCAUCACUCUCCAAAAUUUCAUUGUGUCCUUUUACAAUUCAUCUUUUCUUCCAUUUCUGUCCCCAGAUAACCACUGAUUUGCUUUCUAUUCCCAUAGAUUAGUUUGAAUUUUCUAGAAUCUUAUAUAAAUAGAAGCAUACAGUAGGCACUCUUUCAUGUCUGGCUUCUUCCACUCAGCAUAAUGGUUUAGAGAUUCAUUCAUGUUUUUGUAUGUAUCAGCAAUUUGUUCCUUUUUUGCAGAGUAGUAGUUCAUUAUAUGACUAUACCACAUUUUAAAAAAUCCUUUCCCUGUUGAUGGACAUGUGGGUUAUUUCCCACUUUUCGCUAUUACAAAUAAAGUUGCCAUGAGAACAUUCAUGUUUGUCUUUGUAUGGAACACACAUUGUAUUUUCAUUCCUCCUGCAGAAAUAUCUAAGAACAGAAUGGCUGGGUCAUGGGUAGGCAUAUGUUUAAUUUUUAAAGAAACUGCCAAUCUGUUUCCCAAAGUGUCAUGUUUUACAUUUUCCAAAGUAGGGCAUAUAUUUAAAUUUACUGAAUUAUAUUCACAGAAGGACUGCCUCUAAUUGUCUGCCCCUAUGAUUUGGUCAGACCUUUUAGCAUUUUUCUUAUAAGUUUUAGUGAUAGAUUACCAUUAUAUUCUAAAAUGAGCACAUAUUUUUAACUAGUUGCAGGGUUUUUUUAAUUUGUUUGUUUCGUUUUGUUUUGUUUUUGAGACGGAGCUUUGCUCUUCUUGCCCAGGCUGGAGUGCAAUGGCGUGAUCUUGGCUCACCGCAACCUCCUGUCUCCCGGGUUCAAGCAAUUCUUCCGCCUUAGCCUCCGAGUGGCUGGGAUUACAGGCAUGUGCCACCACACCCGGCUAAUUUUGUAUUAUUUUUUUUUUAGUGGGGACGGAGUUUCUCCAUGUUGGUCAGGCUGGUCUCUAACUCCCAACCUCAGGUGAUCCACCCUCUGUUGCCCCCCAAAGUGCUGGGAUUACACGCAUGAGCCACCACACCUGGCCAACUAGUUGCAGUCUUAAAGACCUAGGUAUUGCCACAUCAUUAAGUAGGUAACAGACUUAAAUAAUUUCUCCUUGUGAAUCAAUGUUUUUUAUUUUGGUAAAAAAAAAACCCCACAUAACAUGGAAUCUACCUUCUUACAAAAUUAUUAAGUGUACAGUAUGGCAUUUUUAACUAUAUGCACAUUAUAGUACAGCAGAUCUCUAGAUUUUUUUCUGUGAAUCAGUUUAAAUAUGCAUUUUGAAAUAAACAGAAACAUAAUAUUAUAUACAAUUAUCUUGGAUUUGCUGGAUUUUAAUUGUGGCUCCUCUACUUAUGAGAUCUUAAACAAAUUACUUGAUCUCUCUGGGCCUCAGUCUCCUCAUCUGUAUAAUGAGGAUAAUAAUAAUACUUACUUUGUAGGAUUGUUGUUGCGAUGGAAGGAAGAAAAAGCUGGAGCGUUGUCUGGUAUGUAGUAAGCAUCAAUAAAAGUUACUAGUCAGGCUUGGUGGCAUGUGUCUGUAGUCUGAGCUACUCAAGAGGCUAAGGAAGGAGGAUAUCUUGAGCCAAGGAGUUCAAGGCUCCAGUGAGCUAUAAUUGCACCACUGCACUCCAGCCUGGGCGACAGAGUAAGAACCUGUCUCUAAAAAAUUUUAAAAGGCCAAGCACAGUGGCUGUCUUCUGUAAUUCCAGCACUUUGGGAGACUGAGGCGGGAGAAUCGCUUGAACUCAAGAGUUCAUCAGCCUUACAACAUAACAAGACUCCCAU